UCUGUCUCCAGGUGUUUUCUACAGCCGUAGGUUCAGUAGUGUCUGUCUCCAGGUGUUUUCUACAGCCGUAGGUUCAGUAGUGUCUGUCUCCAGGUGUUUUCUACAGCCGUAGGUUCAGUAGUGUCUGUCUCCAGGUGUUUUCUACAGCCGUAGGUUCAGUAGUGUCUGUCUCUAGGUGUUUUCUACAGCCGUAGGUUCAGUAGUGUCUGUCUCCAGGUGUUUUCUACAGCCGUAGGUUCAGUAGUGUCUGUCUCCAGGUGUUUUCUACAGCCGUAGGUUCAGUAGUGUCUGUCUCCAGGUGUUUUCUACAGCCGUAGGUUCAGUAGUGUCUGUCUCCAGGUGUUUUCUACAGCCGUAGGUUCAGUAGUGUCUGUCUCUAGGUGUUUCCUACAGCCGUAGGUUCAGUAGUGUCUGUCUCCAGGUGUUUUCUACAGCCGUAGGUUCAGUAGUGUCUGUCUCUAGGUGUUUUCUACAGCCGUAGGUUCUGUAGUGUCUGUCUCCAGGUGUUUUCUACAGCCGUAGGUUCAGUAGUGUCUGUCUCCAGGUGUUUUCUACAGCCGUAGGUUCAGUAGUGUCUGUCUCCAGGUGUUUUCUACAGCCGUAGGUUCAGUAGUGUCUGUCUCUAGGUGUUUUCUACAGCCGUAGGUUCAGUAGUGUCUGUCUCCAGGUGUUUUCUACAGCCGUAGGUUCAGUAGUGUCUGUCUCCAGGUGUUUUCUACAGCCGUAGGUUCAGUAGUGUCUGUCUCCAGGUGUUUUCUA